rnacentral:rRNA from 1 species
AUGUCAAGUUUUUGGUGGGGAGAUGAUGAUGAUCGUAAGAAAAUGCACUGGUGGGCAUGGUGGCGAAUGUGUAUCUCCAAGAAAAUUGGAGGUACGGGAAUCAUGGACUUACACUCUUUCAAUUUGGCUAUGUUGGCAAAGCAAAGUUGGAGAUUAUUAAGUAACCCGGAAUCGUUAUGUGCACGUGUCUUGAGAUCUAAAUACUACCCAGAUGGCAAUCUACUAAAAGCUGGCAAUAAGAAAGGUUCAUCUUUCACAUGGCAAAGCAUUGUUGUGGGA